rnacentral:rRNA from 1 species
AGCGUAGGCGGACAUUUAAGUCAGGGGUGAAAUCCCGGGGCUCAACCUCGGAAUUGCCUUUGAUACUGGGUGUCUUGAGUAUGAGAGAGGUGUGUGGAACUCCGAGUGUAGAGGUGAAAUUCGCAGAUAUUCGGAAGAACACCAGUGGCGAAGGCGACACACUGGCUCAUUACUGACGCUGAGGCUCGAAAGCGUGGGGAGCAAACA